CUAUCAGGCACAAAGCAAGAGAAAGAUUGUUGGAAGUGAAAAGGAUGACCCUCCAUGGAAUCAAUGAAGCAAUUGAAGAUAUCUGUAAUCUUAUGCACUCAGAGCAAGAGAUGCUCUAAAUUCACACUCCAGGGUUGAUGGAUUCGAUGGAAUUGGAAACAUCCAUCAUCGGAAGAGAUUAAUCUGCAUAGCUUGUGAUAUACUGUCGGCCUAUGUUGAUUUCUCCUUCUGUAAGAAGCAGAUUGAAGAGGCCGAAAUAUAUGCAAUUGUAUCUUUUCAUGCGAAAUUGAUUUUUCUUUUAUCAAAUUCGUAUGUCUAUAUGUCUUGCUUCCACAGGUAUGGAGGUGUUACUGAUAUCGUUUGUAAUUUCGUUACUAAUGUUGCAGUGAAAGCAUUUGAACUGGCUGUCUAUUGUCUCAUUGACUAAGAGAUUUAGAAUAGUUUUGGCUUAUAAUUGUGUCAUGGAUGCCCAAAGUCCUAGCAACAAUAUUGUUUAUACUUGAGAUGAAAUUCCUCUAAACAGUGAUGAUUUCAACCAGAAGUUUACAAAUUGCGGAACGGGUUAUGAUUUAUCUAUUUUUUCCCAUCUACUGCCAUUGUUGUCGUCCAAGGUAGAGUUCUGAUGCAGUUCAAUGUCUGAAGAUUUUGGGGCUCACAAGGGUUUUAGCCAUUAUAAAGUUGUCUAUAAAAUUUUCUCAGGAUUAUUUCUUUUCUUAUCUUUGUCAAUUUCUUUCUUUUGUUCUAUAGCAGGAUCAUAGGAAUUAUUUCUUAGGCUAUUUUUAGACACCUGUUUUGUAUAUAUUUAGAUAUAUUGUUAUAGUUUUCGGCUUUUGAUGGUGAAAAUUGAUUUAUGUUCUUAAAUUU